UAGGGAAUCUUCCACAAUGGGCGCAAGCCUGAUGGAGCAACACCGCGUGAGUGAAGAAGGGUUUCGGCUCGUAAAGCUCUGUUGUUAAAGAAGAACAUAUCUGAGAGUAACUGUUCAGGUAUUGACGGUAUUUAACCAGAAAGCCACGGCUAACUACGUGGCAG
rnacentral:rRNA from 1 species